rnacentral:lncRNA from 1 species
CUCUUGAGCUCCUUGCUGGAGCCCAAUCCCAGUCUGUGGAGUGUACUUUCAUUUAAAUAAAUCUGUGCGUUCUUUGCUUCAUUCUUUCAUUGCUUGGUUUGUGCAUUUUGUCCAGUUCCUUGUUCAAAAUGCCAAGAACCUGGAUGACUCAUAGUCAAGACCCUCCACCAGUAACAUAUAUUGGCGAGCCAGCCAGGAGCUUGGAACCCUCGGUGGACAGUGCCUAAGCACAGAGGCAACCACAGGUUUCUAACAGGGCCACUCUCUGGUGAAACUGAAAGGUUUCUGUGUGAAAGUGCCUGACCACCACUGCCCAAUUCAGACCACUACAGGAAACACUCCAUUUAUUCCACCUGACUUCCCACUUGGCUGCAUCCUCAACCAUUGAAAUGAAUUUGACCCUGAUAAUCUAAGGAGGAAACAUUUGAUAUUCUUUUGCAAUAAUACUUGGCCCCAGUAUUGUUUGGAAUCUGGAGUUUGCUGUUGAAUGGGAAAGCAGGAUGACGUUGCAUGUAUCCAGGCUUUGGUGCUGCUGUCCUAAGAAGGGUCAGGCCUAGUCAGCAUAUGGUGCUCUCCUUUGGUGCUAUUUGGCUCCAGUGUCUUUGGAGUCUGAGGAGGUUUGGCCUUUAAAAAUCAAACUGCCACCGGAACUGCUUUAAAAAUGUUUGGUUCACAGCCUUCACUGGAUUACCUAUUGGAGCAAACAAAGUGUAACCAUGUAAAACCUGUGAGCUUGUAUUGAUAUCUCAUGGCUAGAGUUCCAAGGCCUUCCCAGCAUGUGGAAAUGGUCCAGCCUGCAAUAACUGAAGCCCCCAGACCUGGAACCUGAAGAUCCCAUCAGCCACUAAACCUGUGAACCUGUAGAAGACCUGAAGUACCUGUUUAAAAGGCAGCCAAAAGAUAAAGACCAUUAUGAUAAUGCAGCAGGGCCACCAGUCAGUUUCAGAUAAUGAUGUCAACCCCGGCCACCAAGAAGUAACCUUGUCUCCACUAGACAGAGCAGGGUGAGAGUUCUGUAAUCCCCAGUAGGUAGGGACUGUGCCCCAAGUCAGCAUGAAGUAGUUAUGGAAGAAAGACCAUGGGUCCCUCUGCCUCCCAGAAAGAUUUAUGGGGAUCACAUCUCUCAGGGGAAAAUGAGGCAGGAGAAUAGGGUCUGGAGACAGGGAACCUAAAGCUGAUUUGUGCUGAGUUUCUAGGAUUGAAUGAAAAGGAAAACCCCACCUCUCCACACCCAAGUAACAAAAGGAUCAGAGGCUACUCCCUUUGCACUGCAUUGCAGAUAAAAAAUGGAAAGUACCUCAGAUUGGUCCCCUCCCACAACCAAUCAGACUGGCCAUGGGCUACUCCUUCGUUUACAUAGGGUGUAACCAAGUAACCAAUGGGAAACCUCUAGCGGGUAUGUAAACCCCAGAAAAUUCUGUAACCAGUGCUCUUGAGCUGCUUGCUGGAGCCUACUCCCACUUUGUGAAGUGUACUUUCAUUUCAAUAAAUUUGUGCUUUCAUUGCUUCAUUCCUUCGUUGCUUUGUGUGUUUUGUCCAAUUCUUUGUUCAAAACACCAAGAACCUGGAUGACUCAUAGUCAAGAUCCUCUACCAGUAACACUUGAACUUUCUGGUUUGUCCUGAACAUCCCUCUUUCUUAAACAACCAGUCGUUUUAUUCUAGGCCAAAAUUUUACCAUACAAGAAUAUUUCUCAUAUACAAUUAUCUUCCUUCUAACUUUUCUUGCCAGAAAUACCUUUUAUAACUUUCUUUACAUUGCUUUUAUUUAACGAUUACUUUUACCUUGUUUCAUAAGUUUUAAAUAGCCUUGAAUUAGAUAAAAAAUUAUUUUCCUUUAAAUAAGAACACAUUUCUUUUUUUAGAAAA